rnacentral:tRNA from 1 species
UGGGUUGUGGCUCAGCGGUACAGUGCUCGCCUAGCACAUGUGAGGCGCUGGGUUCGAUCCUCAGCACCACAU